CCUACCAGGUUAAGCUACCACCCCUCUUAUGUACUGAUCGUGAACCUUGUGCGUAGCCGAUGUGGGAUUUGCCUAAGGUGAGUGCACUGCCUCUCUGCAGCCACCGCUCACCCCCCCUUAGGGACUCAGCGCCCACGCUGAGGUUUGCCCCACCACCGGCCAGAGGAACAAGGCUUGGCUCUGAUACCAAAUGUCAUGGUCAGCCCACCUUGGUAGGUAUUGUCCGCUUUGGGCCACGCAGGCCCGCACGGUUUUGUCCCUUGGGCCAGGCUUUUCAACCCACCCCAAAAGGCGCCUACCAGGUUAAGCUACCACCCCUCUUAUGUACUGAUCGUGAACCUUGUGCGUAGCCGAUGUGGGAUUUGCCUAAGGUGAGUGCACUGCCUCUCUGCAGCCACCGCUCACCCCCCCUUAGGGACUCAGCGCCCACGCUGAGGUUUGCCCCACCACCGGCCAGAGGAACAAGGCUUGGCUCUGAUACCAAAUGUCAUGGUCAGCCCACCUUGGUAGGUAUUGUCCGCUUUGGGCCACGCAGGCCCGCACGGUUUUGUCCCUUGGGCCAGGCUUUUCAACC
rnacentral:lncRNA from 1 species